rnacentral:misc_RNA from 1 species
GAUGAAGAACGUAGCGAAAUGCGAUACGUAAUGUGAAUUGCAGAAUUCAGUGAAUCAUCGAGUCUUUGAACGCACAUUGCGCCCCCUGGUAUUCCGGAGGGCAUGCCUGUCCGAGCGUCAUUGCUGCCCUCAAGCACGGCUUGUGUGUUGGGCUCCGUCCUCCUUCCGGGGGACGGGCCCGAAAGGCAGCGGCGGCACCGCGUCCGGUCCUCAAGCGUAUGGGGCUUUGUCACCCGCUUUGUAGGACUGGCCGGCGCCUGCCGAUCAACCAAACUUUUUUCCAGGUUGACCUCGGAUCAGGUAGGGAUACCCGCUGAACUUAAGCAUAUCAAUAAGCGGAGGA